rnacentral:misc_RNA from 1 species
AAGUCGUAACAAGGUUUCCGUAGGUGAACCUGCGGAAGGAUCAUUAACACGUAUCCAACGUUAAACCCCCGUGCAUUUUAACCCUGCUCUCUUCGCCUUGACAAGCAAUCUCUGGUAAAUCACGCGAACAGUUUGAUUCAGAGACUUCUUCGAGACGCGUGGAUGGAGCGGUAGAGCAAUUAGACUUGGUUUCCGCAAGGAUAACUGAUACUUACUCAGAUCGUUGACCCUCACGGUCAACGGACAGGUCUCUGGGCUUACGCCCCAUAUUAACCCCCAAUGUAGGUGAAAGCACAAAAACGAACAACUGUUAACAAUGGAUAUCUUGGUUCUC